AGUACGCCGCGCCGCAGCAGGAGGUACAUCUAUGUUUAUUCGCUUGGCAGCUAUUGCCAAAAAAUUUGGUUCCCGGACCGAUUUCUUAUGCUAGUGGAGAAGCUGCACGGUGCCAUAAGGUUCGAAGUGCAGCAGGCUCGUCCCUCGUACCGUGUUGCAGGAAUCGAUCAUCCACGUGGAAGGUGACCAUGUCCUCGUCGCCGUCGGGCUUGUCUCGGACUUUCAGCGUGCGGAAUAAAUCGACCCGGAGCUCAUCACCAGUGGAAGGCCUUCUCCGACGAACCAGGAGCGUACGCGUGACGAAGAAAGAACAGGACGACAAUCUUAGAAUUCCCUCACGAGUCCCACGACUCUUUGAGGAGCCGGUCAGAUUGAUCACGCGAUCGUCGCUGAAUCUGUCACUGUCGUCGUUGUACCCAAGGAAUUAUUCCUUCGGUAGGAACAGCGCCGAAGUUGCGCUUCCGUCCAGGCAGCGAAGUGUUUCCCCCCCGGCUCCCGAUGCCCGACUGUGGAGAAGUAGAUCGGUUCGUCGGUCCGUGAGACCCGCUGUGGUUGCUCGGAAUGUGCAUUUCCACGUCACAUCAUGCACUCGUUGUCUGUCUCGAGGAACGAUUCAGUGUUACUGCAACUAUGUUCCAAGGUCGGAUACUUAUCGGUUGACGACGGAUUUCUUCACCUUGGCAUCUUCUUAUCCAAGACUUCCAGAAGCGCACACGACCUCUAGGUAUGCAUCGUCGAGCUUGAGCCGGAGGACCCCAUCGAUACCGACAUUAUCGAGUCUCUCGCAAGCCUACGGUGGUUAUUACGAUAGGAGGUCCACGAGUCUGCCACGCCGAUCCUCAACGAUGGUGAACCGCAUUGGUCUUCUCUACUGAUCUAGUAAGGCAUAGGAACAAAGAGAGAUGGUAACUGAGCAUCGAAUAUUUCGAACUAAAAGGCGAUGAGGACUGAAAGCUAUGGGGUGAAUUUGUAAAUACGUAAUUAUUGUGGAAUAUUUCGGAUCAUGUGGGGAGAGAUACCGAAUGAAUAAAAUAUUUCCUCCGGAAGCUUUGAGGAGAA